AUGUAUUUAAUAUAAAUACCAACACUCUGCUACCCCACCGAGACACCUGAGGACGAAAAAAAGGCCCAGCCAUCGUCUAAGCUUCCCCAUUCGGCCAAUGAUCCAACCUCCCACCGGGAACGAAAAAAUUAAAAAGAGAUGUGGGGAAAGAGAGCACUCGAGGGAGAUCGAAGGGGUUUCCUGGUUCUGAUUUGGGUUUUUUGUCUUAUGCGACUUUAUGCGAGUUGUGGGGAAAGAGAGCACCCGAGGGAGGUCGGCGAGGACGGUGGCUGGUUGCCGUUCCCCGUGGGCAACCACCGCAAGGGAUCCGCGGCCGAGGCCGAGGAGUCCUGCAGAUGGGUGGCGGAGGGCAUGGUGGCGGGUGUGGAUCGGGAGCGGAGGGCUUGAUGGCGGGAGCUGUUGGAAUGAAGAGGAAACGGAGAGAGAAUUAAGUACCUUUAUCUGGUGCUUUGGUGAGGCUCGUGAUGCCGGAUCUUCGUUGCCGGAGCUGGUAGAGGUGGAUGGAGCCGAGUAGAGGUGAAUGGGAGAGCGUUCGGUGGUGAAAAGAAGGUUUUAAUGUGUUACCGCAGAAAUGACUGUAAAUAACAAAAAAAAAAGGUCAAAGAUUUUCUGAGGGGAUUGUCUGAAGAAGGGAGUGGUUGUUCUGGUCAAAGAUUUUCUGAGAGGAUUGCCUGAAGGAGGGAGUGGUUGUUCUGCAGAGAAAGGAAUCUCUAGUUGCAAACAACCUUCUAUCCCAAUACCUACGGGAGCCUUCCAUGAAUUUGUUUCACUUAUUGUCUGACCUCAUUACAAUUUUCACAACCCUCAUUAAAAUUUUACCGGCGCUAAUCUUAUUGUUUUUACUUAUUCUUUUAAUUUGUUUAAUCUCAUGAAUCUUUUAGUACAAUAUUUCUCUGUUUGUGUGCAAAAAAGUUUAAAUUUUAAUUAAUUAAUUAAUUAAUUUAUUCUUACUAAAUAUUUCUGAGAGAAUAACAUUUUUGUUUAGAUAUUUACAGAUGGUGCAGGACGAAGAUAUGGUGAAAGAGGAAAGGGUGGGUGGCAAGGGCCCAUAGCUUUUCCUUUUCUUCUUUUCUUUUUUUUUUUUUAUAAAUAGCUUCGAUCGAUAUGCCACAUCGGCCAUGUAAAUUGUUUGUAAGGGAAUGUAAGUGGUAAUAGCUUUCUCUUUUCUUUUUUUAAUGACCAUCUCUAGUCAAAAUUAUAUACCAACCUCUAAAGACAUUGCCAACAGCACCCUCUAUGGCCAUCUUUAUGAUUCUAAACAUCUCAUAUAAGACUUGCAUGAAGCUGAUAAUUUUCGUUGGAUAAUCAAGUCAUGCAUCAUGUAUAUCAGGCCCCCGUCUAAUGAAAACCAUGUAGUACCCAGCAUGGCCUAUCCUAUGUAUCUAGCUGACAUUUUCAUGUCAAACUUUGUGUAUUGCUAACCAAGUCUUAGAUUAUGAUCCUACCUAUGGCUCUUGUUUGGACAUGCAAUGAACAAAUCAAUCCUCCAAAGCUUAAUACUUGGUUUAGGAUGAAAUUCCAAUUAACUUCUUAUGUCGACCAGAUUGGCUGCUUAUUCUAUUACAGAUCACUAAAUAUCUCCAUCCUAUUGGCUUGUACUUCAUCUCUAUGUUUUUUCAGCCAAAUGUCAGUGGAACCAUUUAUUAUAUCAACUUAUACCUAUUCCAUGGGUCCUGUUUUGUAUAGCAGAUGAUCUAAACAAUUAUCUCUUGUUGCUUUGUGUUUUUGUCUUAUAUUUUGAGUUCAGGCUGCUGUUUAUUAUUUUGUGCUGCAGCACUGGAUAUUUGGUAUGUCUGAUGAAUUUUAUGUAUCAAUGAAGCCUUUGGGUCAUGUUCUACUGAAAAAAUAAUCGAUCCUGAACAUCUCUAA